rnacentral:lncRNA from 1 species
UUUGUUUCAGAAAUAUUUCUAAAAUAUUUGGGCACUUGUGAUUUUUGUACUAAAUGUUAACAGUAAAAAAAGCUAAGGACUGGAUGACUGGAGAGAUGGCUCUGCAUGAAAAAGCACUUACAGCUCUGUCAGAGGACCUAACACCUAUAUGCAGCAGUCACAAACACCAAUAACUCCAGCUCUAAGGCAGCCCACAUCCCCUUCUUCCCUCUGAAAGCACAUACAUAUGGGUAAAUAAAAUAUUUUUUAGGGCUAAACACAUUGCCAAGCCUGGCAAAUCUGAGUUUGAUCCUAAAGACACACGGUAAGAGGAAAACACCACUUCCCCAGGUUCUCCUUUGACCUACAUACAAUAGUUAAUAAGUGGGGUUUUGUUUUGUUUUUUAAUUAAAUUUUGAUUAAAGCUAACUUUAAUUUUAUUAAAGCUAAAGCAUAUAUGUGAUACCAUAUACCUGUGAUAUCAGGACCUGGGUGACUGAGGUAGGAAGAUCCUAAGUCCAAUGCCUGCCUGAGCUACAAAGAUCCUGUCUCACAAAAAUGAAUGAGUGAAUGAUAUAAUUUACAGAUUAACC